UUGAUUUGUCAGGUGACACAGUGGAGUCCUCUGGAAGAUCGGGUCUGAAGGUUGACUGUAAUCUGGGACGCCCUACAGAUGUCAGAGGGUGUUCCCCAUGGAACACCUCAGGAUGGGUCUGUAUGCUUGCCUGUCCUGUGGAAGUAGCCGCUUUGGCUGCUGUCAUAUCUGCUGCCAUGGAAUGAACAAUGUCGGAGCAGAGAGAGAGUUCCUCCUUCAGGGUUUUCAUAACAUCAGAUAUUCCAGUUGCUUGUCCAUAUGCUUGAUCGCUUGUUUUUGUUGAUCCUGGAUGAAGCUGGUCAGCUUGGUGUUCAAUACUCCCAUUUGUGAGAGUCAGGCUUACCAGGGGUCAGAGGAACAGAAAGUGCAGGUGUUGCAGUCAGGUCCAUAUCCAGCAGUGAAUAAUUUGAAGAGCCCGAAUCCAGAACAGUAUUGGAAAUGCCUGGUACAUCCAUCAUGUCAAGGAGUAACUCCGAGUCGGCAGCCAUUUUGCUUGGUUUGCUGUUUCAAUAAAGUAUUUGUCCUUUGUCUCUGUUUUCCUUCACAAUACAGUGGUAAUUGGGUUUUUCCAUUCAA